AGAAGAGGAACGAUUUUGAUAUACAUAUGGCCAUCUAACUGCUACAUAUGGCCAUCUAACUGCUACAUACGGCCAACAAACUGCUAUUUAUUGCCGUCUAACUGCUACAGGGAGGCGGCUGCCUACCUACAGACUUGAUAUCAUUGGCCACUUUAAUAAAUGGAACACUAGUCACUUUAAUAAUGCAACUUCAAGAAUGUUUACAUAUCUCGCAUUACUCAUCUCAUAUGUAUAUAAUGUAUACUGUAUCCUUCACUAUCUAUUCUUUAUGAUCUAUUGGAUCUUAGCAGCUCGGUCACUGCUCAUCCAUAUAUUAUAUACCUAUAUAUUCUUAUCCCAUCCCUUUACUAGAUUGUGUGUAUUACGUUUCGUUGUGGAAUUCGUUAAAUAUUAGGUUUUGUUGUGUAAUUUGUUAAAUAUUAGGUUUUGUUGUGUAAUUUGUUAGAUAUUAGGUUUUGUUGUGUAAUUUGUUAGAUAUUAGGUUUUGUUGUGUUAUUUGUUAGAUAUUAGGUUUUGUUGUGGAAUUGUUAGAUAUUAGGUUUUGUUGUGGAAUUGUUAGAUAUUAGGUUUUGUUGUGGAAUUGUUAGAUAUUAGGUUUUGUUGUGGAAUUUGUUAGAUAUUAGGUUUUGUUGUGUUAUUUGUUAGAUAUUAGGUUUUGUUGUGGAAUUGUUAGAUAUUAGGUUUUGUUGUGGAAUUGUUAGAUAUUAGGUUUUGUUGUGGAAUUGUUAGAUAUUAGGUUUUGUUGUGGAAUUGUUAGAUAUUAGGUUUUGUUGUGGAAUUGUUAGAUAUUAGGUUUUGUUGUGGAAUUGUUAGAUAUUAGGUUUUGUUGUGUUAUUUGUUAGAUAUUAGGUUUUGUUGUGUUAUUUGUUAGAUAUUAGGUUUUGUUGUGGAAUUGUUAGAUAUUAGGUUUUGUUGUGUUAUUUGUUAGAUAUUAGGUUUUGUUGUGUUAUUUGUUAGAUAUUAGGUUUUGUUGUGUUAUUUGUUAGAUAUUAGGUUUUGUUGUGUUAUUUGUUAGAUAUUACCUCUUAGACACUGCUGCACUGUCGGAUCUAGAAACAUAAGCAUUUCGAAACUCUCGCAAUAACAUCUGCUUACUAUGUGUAUGUGACCAAUACAAUUUGAUUUGAUUAUAUGUUGUCUAAUUUAAACCUGCUUUAUCUGUCUUCAACCUUAUCUAUCUCCAACCAUCACCACUAGGUGGAGGCAUCACUUCUUCCUAGAUGUACCCACCACUGCUCUCUAUGAUUCAGCACUAACAACAAGCUAAAGCCUUGACAAGCUGCCUCCCAAAGAAAGGGGGAGAGAAAAAGAGGAAGAGUGAGAGAAAGAGUUAGAGAGAGGGGAUUUUUAUGUGUGCAAACCCACAACUGUUCUUUGGUUAAAUCUGACUGCCCUUACGGCAGUGUUGCUAAAGUGAACACAACAUCCCUCUGUCAUCACACCACCCACUGUUUUCUACAGCAAAAAAACUCUCUCUCCUCCUUUCUCUCUGUCUCUAACUUGCUCCACACCUUCUGAUAUUUCAGGAAGUGAGAUGGGUGGGAGAGAGCACAGUUACUGUGUGAGGGCAUAUUCCCGAUGCUGCGAGUGUAUGUCUGUAUGUGUGUGGGAGGGGGGUUUCUCUUGAGAUCAGUGAACAGAAAGGCCCCUGAGCUCAGAGAGUAAUUAAUGGAGAAUGACACUGUGCGUGGGAGAGAGCACAGGCAGGGAGCCUGAAACACACACGCAAACACACAUUGCAGAGGCAUAAUCCUGAAAGUUUUUAAACUGAAGGCUGCAGAGAGUGAGUCGAUUUAGGGACAGAAAGUGUUGACGUGGGUAGAAUUGGAGAACAGAGAGAGAUAGCAGAAAGAAGGACAAAAUAAAGACAGCAGGAUG